rnacentral:sRNA from 2 species
CUUCAUGAUUUAGACAUUUAUCUUUUUUAGCCUGCCAUGCUGUAUUAUAUAUAUUAUUUCAUUACGUUGGUUUAAACUUUUAUCAUAUACAUUUCGCUCCCCUAUAUGGACCACUGAGUAACGAACAAACAAGAAAAGCAUUCAUAAAGUGUUUGGCAGGAAAUAUAAAAAGAAAAACCUUCACCCAAACCAAAACGGAGAUAUCAUAAACAUCAAGUAAUAUUGUAAGGAUACAUAAUCGGCAUAUAUAUGGAGAAACAAGCAACGAAACAUCGAGGCGAUCUAAUAGCUGAAGAUAGCCGGAACUACAAUGCACAUGUACUUAACAUCGCAUUUAUUGCCCGGAAUUGGAAAUUCAGGGUCCCCUGAUUUAGCGAGAAAGGCUAAUAACCUUGCUUGCAGCUUCCUCAAACGAGUCGAAGGCAUGUAGCGGGAGCCCGCUGUCGGCAAUCUAAGUUUGGAGCAAAAACAAUUAGUCCCCCCUGUGUCGCGCUGAUGCACUUCCAUAAAAAUACCAUCCCAAGGAACAAUUGGCAAGGAAAAGGAUCUGACAUACCAUCUUCUGCCCAAGUUCCUCAUUGGUACCACGCAGGCGAACAACAACAGGUACCUUCAUAUCCAAAUCGCGGAACGCCAUGAUGAUUCCGUUAGCGAUCAUGUCGCAGAGAGUCAGGCCGCCAAAAAUGUUGACGAAGAUGGUUUUCACGCGAG